UAGAGAGAUGGGUAGAGACGCAUCGACACUCUGGAACCCUAAUCUCUUCUCUCUCGCGCAAGACCGACGAUCUCCUUUUGAGCCCUUUCAUCUUCUUCCGUUAGUCGUUCACGUUUUGUCAUUCAAUCCACCAUCAAACCUUAGGCUGAGACGAUGAAUAUCUUCUGCCUCUCCUAUCUUUGUCGUUUCCGCUACUCCAUACCUGUGUCUUUAUAAAUUAAACAUUUUAAAGCCUCUUAUGCUCUUUGACAAAAAAAAAGGUCUCUUAAGCUCCCACGAACAGGUCCUGUAACACUACCGUCGAAACUUUGUGUUCUCAGAUUUUGCAAGGUCGGGAAUCGGGAUGUGAUAAGAAAUGGCAAGCUUAUGGGGUCGGUCUACUUCUUCUUGACGCUAAGCUUAUGCAGGCCCAGAUUGCAAAUCUUUAACGAGUCAUAUGAUUAUGAACUGACGUGAUCAAAUCAGAAGCCAAUAUAAUCCCAUGAGAUCUUCCCGUAAGGGUCAAUACCUAUGGCCCAAAUUGCAAAUUUUUAAAAGAAAGUUGUUCAAGUAGAUGUCAAAGGUCUUGGCGCCACCACAUCCAUUGGUCAAACACUGGAUCUUUGUCAUGAGAAACGACCAACCUCCUACAGCUAUUUCAGGAAUGCAAUAGCUGAAAUAGGGAGACUAUUGAUGUUCGAAGCAUCUCGAGAGUGUCUGGUACGUCCUGUUUGAUACAUCUCUCUUUUAUUAUGUUUGCUUAUUUUUCUUGAUUUUACACUCUGUCAUGGUGAUAAAGCCAAUGGUUGUUGGAGAAAUCAUGACUCCAGUGGGUGCUGCUUCGGUUGAAUUAAUUGAGCGAAUUAGUUUUGGUUCUGUUUUGCAAGCGUGUCUAAUGCCGUAAAGCAUAUUAAAGUGGUGUUUGUUAGUUUAAAACGUUUGUUUUGUUUAAUCUGCUCAUAUACAUAAUUGUAUAUUUUAUUGUAGCUGUGUUCAUUCAGUAGCAAGUGUUUCUCAACACAGAUCUAUAUGUGUCAAAGGUAAUCUGGUAAUGAAAGGAAAUCUAUUUUUGAGAUACGUUCCUCAUAGUUUAGCCAACUCACUUGAUAAGGUAUAAGUAUUUGGCGUAGUUGCUUUAUAUGUUCAAAUUUCUCAUUCUCUCUGUAUUAUUAUACGCUUGAGUUUCACUGAAGGCUUUUGAAUAUCACUGAUUCUCCUAUACGAGUAAAUAAGCUUUGGUUGUUUGAAUAUGAGUGCCCAUUAAAAUUUUAAUUAAUUGUAACACAGAUGUUUUAUAUUGAAAUACUUACCAUUAUCUGUUUCUUCGGUGAAACAAAAGAUUCUAACCAUUAUCUGUUUGAAGGAAUGGUUUCCAGAGGUAGGACUUUCUAUGCAACAAUUUUGACGAGCAAGCAACAGUUCCACUGGAGAAGAAGAAAUAGGAGUCUCGAGCACACACGGCUCAGAUUCACGCUGAUGUCUUUGUAGCUGGUGUGGAUGCAUCUGUUAGCUGUCGCAGGAGCAACCGUUGUGUCUUCCAGCUUUGGGAAGGACGAGAAAAUGCCUAAGUCAGAAGUAGCAGUUGCCACGACCCUUGCGGAUGCUCUGUAUAUGAAGGAUGAUGAAGUGAUUGCAGCUAAGCGAGAGCAUUUGGCCUUACGAAGAAGAGAUUCACAGUCAAUGAGACAAUGAAGAAACCUUCAAGAAUGAAGAUUGUAGACAAUAAGAAGAGCGGGAGAGUAACUUAUCAGAAACUCAAAAAGCGUUGUUGAAUGAUUUGAUACCAAUCUUGACAACUAGGACAUCAGUGACCUGUACAAUACUUGGAUCUGUAGCUAUUGUAGGUAUGAUUCUUUAUUUUUCCCAUCAAAAGUUCUGAUUUUGUAUCUUACCUUUUGUCUAAUGAUCAAUUUUUUUUAAUACAA